CCCUUUGUAAACUGUAAUCCCACAACCUAAAACAACGCAAAGGGCAUUUUCAAUGAACCUUUUUUAAUUUGAAGUAUCGAUUUAGUUAAUUCCUCUUUAACUUUCUUUUAGUUGUUUAAUGCGUAAUUCAUUACCAACGCACUUACGAUAAUCAUGGCACCAUUUCUUUAAUCACCCCAAAAGUCCAUUCCCUCUUUUUUUUUUUUUUACAUCGAAAAUAAAACCUUAAAAAACUAGUUAGCAGCUUCGUGGCCAGCGUAAGGAGCUAGUCAGCUUGGUGCAAAGCAGUUGACGAAAUGGGAUCCAAACACUCGUGAUCUUCCUCCUUUAGCAAGAGAGUCAACACGGAGAUUCAUCGAUCUUGGGAUAUAUGCUAUUGAGAAUUCGGUAAAAUCAGCGGAAAGAGCUUUAAUCUCAUCAAGUUCUGGCUCCAUUGCUGGCCAAUCUUUGUCCUCCUCUAAUAGCUUGAUUAAUUGCUCACAAUCUGAUUCAAAUCGGAUCUCUCUGUUUCCUAGCUUCAAUACCUCGUGCAUAGCCCACAAUAAACCUUCAGCUUAUGCGUGGAGAGGGGAUGUCGCCUGUCUUGUUCCUUGUGCUCCGAAGAGGACCGAGUUCCAUCAUCAAGUAAUACAAAUCCCAAUCCAGCUCUGUCAUUCUCUGUUUUCCAAGACGCAUCCGUUUGGCAUCUCCAACGAGCUGAAUGAGGUGCCUGCAACACGAUGUUCACAGCUUUAUGUUGUUCUUCUGCGUCUAUUUGCGGUUCCACAUCUAUUAUCCGCGCAAGCAGCCAGCUUUCAGCUUCCUUAACAGCAAGUUGGAGUGUAUCCAUUGAUAUACCAAGCAAUCCAUGGAAAUGCAGCCAGCACGUCUGGACUCACUCCACUUGCCUUUGCACGGAAUAGCAGAAAUUCUAUAUUUGAGAAUAAAGAGUUACACGGGAAGGACCCCGGAGGAGAUGGUAUCGAGCAUAGGGUCCAGCACUGCAGCGCCGGUGGACAUUCGAACAGAGUGCGGUUAAUCGACUCGCUUUCACCACCGCAUCGAGUACAUGUACUCUCUCUAGCACAGUGCCAGUCCUUCAAUUGUUUCACGGUAGCUAGGAGGAGGCCGCAUAAUAGAGGUCAUGAGCAACUAUGUAGCAUGACUUAACUGUAUAUAGCCCCGAUUUUGUGAAGUCCCAACAGUAGCUGUCCUGGCGACCUGUACGACUAAGGCGGAGCGAGGUUACUCUGGGUAUGUCUUAUGUUGCCACAAGAUCGUUUAACAAUUCAAGGUUCCAAGAGUGGUUCUGCUCGUUGAUUAGGUGAUGGACACGGAGGUUCUCAUCCCGAUGAUCUGCAGCAUUUAGCGGAGGUCACGCUGGAUUCGUCGGAAGCCAGGGUUCGUCCCAUACCUUUGUAUCAUAUCAAUUCCCAAUCUUUUUCCUGAGACCCUUCCGGAGAACUUCUUUCGAUGCUACUAUACUUCGCCAUCCAUAUGACGGGUUGUUUGCUUUUUCAACUUGCAUUGAAGUAGAGUGUCUGUAGUAUCUUCCUUUGAGUACUCGAGCUAAGAGUGAAUGUGGGUACUUUAGCAAUUUCCACAGCUGUUUUGCUAGUAAGGCAAUGUUAAACUCGUGAAAAUCACGGAAACCCAGUCCACCCUUUUUCAUUGGUACACAUAUUUUAUCCCAAGCAACCCAAUGAAGUUCUCUAUUAUUGAAUUUAGUACUCCACCAAAAUCGUGCGACAGUGCUCGUCAGAUUUUUUGUUAUUCCUUUUGGAAGUAGAUAACAAGACAUAGUGUAGGAGGGUACUGCCUGGGCUACGGCUUUAAUCUGAACCUCUAUGCCGCCUUUUGAUAAGAGCUUCGUCGACCAUGAGUUUGUACGAUCCGAGAGGCGCUCUUGGACGAAGCUAAACACCUGUUUCUUAGAGCCACAUAUCUUUUCCGGUAGUCCGAUGUACAUGCCCAUUCCACCUUCUUGAUUAAUGGCCAGUGACCUUUUCAGGUCAGUUUUUGAGAACUCUACAACCUUAGAACUGAACAUAACUGAAGACUUGGAUUUAUUCAGUCGUUAUCCAGAGGCGUUACGAGAUAAUCUUAUAUUAUUAUAUAAAAACAUGGUUUACUUAUCUAAACAUUUUAAACAUCAACAAAUAUGGGUCGACGAGCUUCACGCUUUUUCCAACGUCUAUAGGCUCAAUCUACGUUAUACAGUACAAGUCAACUUCAAUGAUUAAUAUACCUAUAACAAAACUUGAAUAAACUUUGUCUUUUCUGCUGAUGAUUUUUGUUUUGGGAAAUCUUUGAUUCAUUUGUGAUCAAUCUACAGAAAGCAAGAGAUUACAAAACUUCUCUAUCUAACUGAAUAGUGUUGCAACAAAUAAAGAUUUAGAAGCACAUAUAAAAUGUGUGAAUCAAGGAAGUACCAACAACUAGAUCUUAAUUGCCAUUUCUAGGAAUUAUGCUUAUUCUCACACUUAUAGAGUCAAUUUUUUCGGUGACUCACUUUAUCGUCUCUCUUCCUUUUAUAGAGGAAAUGUCUUGUGUUUAUCCUGUAUUUGCUCAUUCACUCGAGCUACUCGACGACACAAACACUGGCCCAUCCUUACCAUUGAUACAACUACAAAGUAUGUGGUUAUAUAGCAUAUGAAUUUGCUUAUUAUUUGUUUUAUUUCGUUUUGUUAAUAGUUGAACUACCAGCUGAUAAUACAUAUGAUAUCUAAGUCGUUUGUUUUUACUUGUUUUGUAAUCAUAGGGUUUGAGGCAAAACGAAGAUUAAUACUUGGAGCAUGUAGAGCGACGGGCAUUUGUUAAACGGUUAUAGUAUAUCCAUUUAUGUGAGAUUAGGAGAUGUUAAAUGAUAUGUGGGCAUUGUAAAGUCGUAUUUAUAUAAUGGAAACAUACAUAACCCUACAUCGGGGUCAUAACUUCGAUUCAAUUUGUCAUUGAAUCAAAAGGAACAAAAUUUUGGAUUUUGUGGGUCUAAAAUAUUCACAAGGGCUUACAAUAUUAGUGAAGAGUCAUAACCUUAUUUAAAACACAAAAGGAUAAUAAGAAUAAAACAAUCCUUUUCAUAUGAAAGUGCUCCAAGAAAAAUACAAAAACUAAAGGAGCAUUAGGGAGACAAUGUUAGUAAUCCACACCGAGUUAAUGCCAAGCUGCAUCAUCAUCAAUUAAGCAUGUCUCUUCUUUAUUUCACACAUUCAAAUGUUAUUUUCUUAAUCUCUCUCUCUCUGUAAAUUAAUGAUGAUGAUCGUGAUCACUUCUUUUUAUUUUUGGGUAUGUUGUGACCCAUAAACGACAACACUUUUCCUUUUUUAGGUUUUAUAAUUUUCUAUGGGAAUGGUCCUAUUGGAUGUCACUUGUAUAUUGAAAUUAUGUUUUGUCUGAUAUCAUCAUUUAUAAUAUUCAUCACAGUUUCGCGCAAUUGUAAAUUUAACAUUAGUUCCAAUAUAUUUUUCUUUAAAUGGACAUGUAUAUGUAUACAUUAAAUACCAUAAAUGCUUUCAUUUUUGUCAAUGAACUCUUCGUAAAAACCCUCAAACAAAAUGCAAACCAUGCGGUAAUAGAGAGAAAAAGGCAAAUCUUGCUAAAUCAACAACUUGAGAACUGUUUCCUCUAGAAAUAAAUCGAAGCUAAAAGGAGGAGAAGAAAGCAAAGCCAUUACGUCCAGGAGAGUGAAAUGAUAUGUUUUUAAUCCAUUUCAGUUUGAUCACACUUUCACUAGUCUUUUUUUUUUUUUUUUUGAAAAGACUUUCACUAGUCUUUCAAUGCCGCUUAUGUAUGAUCCGAAAUAUAUUAUUUUCUAAGAAAAAAAAUUAAAUGCUAAGUUUUUGGUAGUUUUGAGGUUUUUGAAAAGUUAAAAAAAGAAGAGAUUAAUUGAAAUAAUGGCAGUUGAUGAAAAGUAACGGUUCAGAGAUUAUGUGAUUUAGAGUAAACUAGGUUAAUACCCGCGCUUUGUAUUUGCGCGGGAUCAACAUUACAUAUAAAAAUUAUUUUAUGUAUUAAAUAUUUUUACAUAUUAUGAAACAAUAAAUAUAUAUUAAAUAAUUAAAAGUCAGUAA